AACAGGAUUAGAUACCCUGGUAGUCCACGCCCUAAACGAUGUCUACUAGUUGUUGGUGGAGUAAAAUCCAUGAGUAACGCAGCUAACGCGUGAAGUAGACCGCCUGGGGAGUACGGUCGCAAGAUUAAAACUCAAAUGAAUUGACGGGGGCCCGCACAAGCGGUGGAUUAUGUGGAUUAAUUCGAUGCAACGCGAAAAGCCUUACCUGGCCUUGACAUGUACCGAAUUUACCAGAGAUGGUUUAGUGCUCGAAAGAGAACGGUAACACAGGUGCUGCAUGGCUGUCGUCAGCUCGUGUCGUGAGAUGUUGGGUUAAGUCCCGCAACGAGCGCAACCCUUGCCAUUAAUUGCCAUCAUUUAGUUGGGCACUUUAAUGGGACUGCCGGUGACAAACCGGAGGAAGGUGGGGAUGACGUCAAGUCCUCAUGGCCCUUAUGGCCAGGGCUUCACACGUAAUACAAUGGUCGGUACAGAGGGUUGCCAACCCGCGAGGGGGAGCCAAUCCCAGAAAGCCGAUCGUAGUCCGGAUUGUAGUCUGCAACUCGACUACAUGAAGUCGGAAUCGCUAGUAAUCGCGGAUCAGCAUGUCGCGGUGAAUACGUUCCCGGGCCUUGUACACACCGCCCGUCACACCAUGGGAGUGGGUUUUACCAGAAGUAGGUAGUCUAACCGUAAGGAGGACGCUUACCACGGUAGUAUUCAUGACUGGGGUGAAGUCGUAACAAGGUAACC
rnacentral:rRNA from 1 species